rnacentral:lncRNA from 1 species
CCCCUCUCCUGUCCACCAAGAAGACAAGCAAUAUGAUAUCAAUUUUACAUGUGAAAUCAUGUAAACACAUUAGCAAUAUUUCCCCCAAAAGAAAAACAAAGUGAGAAAAUUAUACUUCAAUUUGCACUCAAACUUCAUUUCUGUCCCUGGAGGUGGAUAGCAUUUUUUCAUCAUGAGUUCUUUAGUAUUGUCUUGGAUCAUCUUAUUGAUCAGAGUAGCUAAAUCAUUAAUUAUUGUUUAUCAUUACAACAUUACUCUUACUGUACAAUGAUGUCCUGGUCCUUUCUCACUUCACUUUUCAUCAGUUCAUAUAGAUCUUGUCAUGUCUUUUUCUGAAACCACCCCUCUCAUCAUUUCUUAUAGCAAAACAGUACUUCAUCACCAUAAUGUGCCAAAACUUGUAUAGACAUCUCUAACUGAUGAGCAUCCAUCCACUAGACUUCCAAAUCUUUGACACCACAAAAAGAGCAGCUGCAGAGGAUAAAAUCUCACCCGAAAAGGAACUGGCAGAACUCUCCAUCCUGGGACUCUAGAGCAAACAGACCUGUGUCCAGGGAUCCCUGCACAAUCACAGGCUGGCAAGGGAAUUGGGUAACCAGGGAGCACGUGCUCCAGGGCAAAGCUUCACAAACACUGUUGGCAGAGCUGUCUGGAAGAUGGAGUCAGAUCUGACUAGAGCUGAAGGGUAAGAGAAAAUCCCCUUCAAUCUCUUUCUUCUUUAGUUGAUGUAGUUGUAAUCCCCGUCCAGUACGUUUAAGAUGUCUGAGUUCUCUAUAAGUUGAAAAUAGCUAUUUAUUAGAUAAAGGGGUUGAGUAUAAAUUAGGAAAGAGGAAACAGGGAGUCCUUGAGCUAUCUCCCUCCGAUAGAUGUCUUCAGGGAUUUGAGGCACAAGUUUGGGAACUAAGUCCCAGGCGAUCUUAAUGUCUUUGUCGGUUCAAGAUGAUGGUAUUUCUUGUCACAAAGAUAUAGCUUGAAUGAGUCUUCUGAAGGAUAGGCUAUUU